UGACGAUCGGGUAGGGCGUGGCCCGGGCGUGACCGGGGGCGGCGUCCAGGUGCUGCCACGUGAACAGGUUGGCGUGCGAGCCGGACUUGAAACGACGCAGGGCGCUCAGCGUCAGCACCGUCUGUUGGUGAUGAUGGAGAAGAAGCAGAAGGCGAUGGCGGCUCGGGCGGCGUCGGCGCCCUGCGACAAAGGCAGCUCGUCCGCUGAUGUCGCUUGCCACUGAUUGACCAAGAAGCAGAAGCCCACGAACCACAGGAAGCUGGCCACACCUCAGCACGCACAAGCAAAAAUGGCACGUGUUGGUUUCAAACUACCGUAAUUUUCGGACUAUAAGUCGCACCAGCCAUAAAAUGCCCAAAAAAGUGAAAAAAAACAACAUAUAUAUGUAUAUAAGUCGCCCCCCCACCCAAACUAUGCAAAAAAACCCGCGAUUUAUAGUCCGAAAAUUACGGCAGGUGGGUUUUGUUUUCGUUUACCUGAGCAGAUGAGGUCGAGCAGUACGGCGCGCCGUCUGUCCGUCAGGCUGCUGAAGGACGGAAAGACGGCGUCGAGGAGCAAGAAGAAGGCGCUGGCCAGGAAGCAGGCCACGCCCACCGUCACGCCGAAGUUGCAGGCGUCCGCGUUCUUGUUGAAGACGCACAGCAGACGCUCGCUGCCGAUGUUGACGUAACCCUCGUUGACGAUGCAGCUGAACACCACCAUGGAGAACACCUGCCGCGAGCGUCACAAAUUUGCCUCAGUGUAUGGCGGCGCCCCACGCAGAUGCUCACCCACGACAGCAGCCUCAAGAUGGUCCGCGGAUGCGUGAAGAAGGCGACCGGGUCGAAGACAAGCUUCCCGGCUUUGGCGGCCCCGUACGCGGCCGCUGGCUCCAUGGCGGCCUGCCCCCCUCCGAGCGA